rnacentral:lncRNA from 1 species
UAAAUUAAUUCUUUUUGAUGUAUAAAUCUUUUUGUUGGAAGGAAAGGAGUAUUGCAGCGAAUUAAACUAAAAUAUUUUGUUAACUAUUUUUGUACUAAAUUUCGGUGAUGGAUUAUUUUCCACAUAUUUACAACAGUCAAUAUAUAGGCAUAAACCAAAAAUCCUAAUAGCAAUAAUUAAAUAAGAUUUAAAUUUAUCUCUUAUAUCUAACCAACAAAAUAUUAAGAUAUAAAUCUGACAGAAAUAAAUUUUAAACUUAUCAAAAAUAUUAGAUUACUUAUCAACACUUUUGACUCAGUCUU